UACGGGGGGGCAAGCGUUGUUCGGAAUUACUGGGCGUAAAGGGCUCGUAGGCGGCCAACUAAGUCAUACGUGAAAUCCCUCGGCUUAACCGGGGAACUGCGUCUGAUACUGGAUGGCUUGAGGUUCGGGAGGAGGAUGCGGAAUUCCAGGUGUAGCGAUGAAAUGCGUAGAUAUCUGGAGGAACACCGGUGGCGAAGGCGGCAUCCUGGACCGACACUGACGCUGAGGAGCGAAAGCCAGGGGAGCAAACGGG
rnacentral:rRNA from 1 species